AAAGAAGCUUCCAAUCCUAACUAUGCUGAGACCCAACUUGUGAGUACCAAUAGAGAUGUCUAUGCCUCUCCUUGUAGACGCAAGAGAAAUGGAAAGCAAAGCACAAGCUUAUCUUCUAUAGCAAUGGCUCAUCUAAAGGUUUUGAGGCUGUCAACACUGCAAGCUCUAGCUUCAAGGUGAUAGGUUUCUUCUUCAUGAUGUCGAACUACAUUGCAAGGAGGUCAUGGUUGUUGAUUGCUUUUCUCUAUGUUUCUCGUCAUGGUUUUGGUGCUUUUGCUGUCUUUGACCUAUCCGCUUUAAAUUCCAUUGUCUCAAUAUCAUUACUAGCUUCUCAACAGCAUUUCAAACCCUAUGGGGUAUUUCAGGGUGCCUCUCCUUACCGCCUUUGUUGGAAUGAGCAACGAUGCACUAUUUUUCUUUGUCCUCUUAAACGCUAAUUGAACAGAGCUUCUUCAAAAAUCGAGACGAUUAGCAAGACAAGUUGGUUCAAGUUGGACGCAGCUCUUGCGUUGAUCCAUUUAGGACUUUUCGUUACUGUCUAUCUGGGUAUUGUUCAAAACUUCACAUUAGCUGGGUUUGCUCUUUUUCCUCUUAUUGUUUUAUGUUUGUC